GGGCCGGUAGCUCAGUUGGUAGAGCGUUCCGUUUACACCGGAAUUGUCGGGGGUUCGAGUCCCUCCCGGCCCACCA
rnacentral:tRNA from 1 species